rnacentral:rRNA from 1 species
AUUGAACGCUGGCGGCAGGCCUAACACAUGCAAGUCGAGCGGAUGAAGGGAGCUUGCUCCUGGAUUCAGCGGCGGACGGGCGAGUAAUGACUAGGAAUCUGCCUGGUAGUGGGGGAUAACGUCCGGAAACGGGCGCUAAUACCGCAUACGUCCUGAUGGAGAAAGUGGGGGAUCUUCGGACCUCACGCUAUCAGAUGAGCCUAGGUCGGAUUAGCUAGUUGGUGGGGUAAAGGCCUACCGAGGCGACGAUCCAUAACAGGUCUGAGAGGAUGAUCAGUCACACUGGAACUGAGACACGGUCCAGACUCCUACGGGAGGCAGCAGUGGGGAAUAUUGGACAAAGGGCGAAAGCCUGAUCCAGCCAUGCCGCGUGUGUGAAGAAGGUCUUCGGAUUGUAAAGCACUUUAAGUUGGGAGGAAGGGCAGUAAGUUAAUACCUUGCUGUUUUGACGUUACCAACAGAAUAAGCCCCGGCUAACUUCGUG